rnacentral:misc_RNA from 1 species
CGGUCGGGGCAAGAGUGGGUACACGAGACGCUAAACGUAGGCACCGACCGGGGACACACUGGAUGGCAUGUUAGUYGGUAAACGAUGGUUAUUGUUGGGAUACGAGUUGGAACACUUGCAUGUUGGUUUCGUUGUUUUCUUUGUUACUUUCGCAUCGUUCGGUGCAUUYUGGGGGCUGUUUUGGCUUUUGGUUGCUUGCUUGGCUUUUUGCCGGGUGCGUGGCUACUAGUUGGGCGGUUUUCGGGAAUGUCGACCGUAAAGGUGCAUGAGUGGUGUUUGGUUUGUUACGGGUGGUUGGCUGUCUGCUCGCGCAGCAACGUCCACGCGUGCAUACCUCUUCAGUUUUGCGGCAAGRCUUAGAUGUCUUGAGCAUAUUGUGGGUUUCCUGUGUUGCAUACCUAGUCGAUGGUAACGUGUGGGUUUUAUGAUGUCCCUAUUCGUCAUGCGUCGCUCAUGCGACGUGGGAUGAACAUUGAAGCGGUCUUUGUGAUCCAUCUUGUUGUUGCAUUUGCAACAAUAAUGUGGCCUAUGAAGCAUCGCUUGGUCUCUUGUAUACGGAACCUAAUGUGGGCAUGGGUCUUAUAAGAUCCUGAAUUUGCCCUCGUUAAGCGUUCUCGCUUCUCCWAAACGAUUGUCUAUCAUGUCUCGGCUUGUCYGUGCAUGGUGG